ensembl:lncRNA novel transcript
UGGCUGGGCCUUUGUCUCUCGCUCCCACCAGAGCUUGGAAUCCGUCUCUGCUCUUCUGCAUUCUCCACCUCGGGAGCCCCUGGGGACUCUGUGACGGCCUCUGUUGCCCUGUGAUCUGCAGGUCCGGAGAGACGCACAGCUAAGAUGUCAGGACAUCCUGGAAGCUGGGAAAGGGUCUUGCCAUCUCUAAGCUGGACCUGGUGACCUUUUUGGAGGGAAAGAAAGAGCCCUGGACUGUGAAGAGUGAGGAGACCAUAGCUGCACAGCCAGUCCAGAUGUAUAAUCUCAUCCCUGAACAUUUCUGAUGGUGUGAUUAUGACAUGUGACUUUAUCUGGCAACAGAGUGAGUUGUUGCUCCCGCCUGAGCCCAGCCCCCAGAAAGGAUUGUGACAUAUCGUUGGACCCAGAAUUGAGGUGCAGUUUUGACACACUUCUGUCUAGCAGCUGAGUAUUGUGAUCUUCAGAACUGGCCCAGCCUACAAAUAGGAUUGUGCCACACUGCUGGACCCAGCACCUAGAUGAUGUAACUAUUCUCCUGCCUUGGUGCUACUCAAAAAAGACAUUAACAUAUCUCAGAGCCUUGCACCCAGGUGGAAUUGUGACAUAUAACUUGGCCAAGCACACAGAUGUAAUGGUGUGGUGACUCUCAUACCUAGAACUGGGACCUGUGCAGGAUUGUUAAUUCAUUACUGGACAUUCCUGUGGGUGUGAUUGUUACAUAUGCCUAUGUUCAGCACCCGAGUGAUUUGAUUUUGCUGCCUGGUCUCAGUCCAAAUGCUCUGCAUAUUUGGGUAUUGUGACAUAUUGCUGAACUCAACACCUAAGGGAUGGGAGUCUCCUACCUAGGCCCUUCCUACAGGGGACAUUGUGACAUGUCUCUGCAUUCCUCAUCCAGGAGAUGUGACUCUCCUUUUCUGCCUACACCCUGCCUACACAGAAAGUUGUGGCAUAUUGCUGUGGUCAGCAACCAGAUGAUAUAUUUCUCCUGCCUGGGUCUUUAUUACAGGAAAGAUGAUUGACAUAUUACUGGGCCCAGCAUCCAGAUGAUGUGACUCUCUUCUUCUGUUGGUCCUUGCUUACAGGGAAACUGUAGCAUAUUGCUACACCCAACACCUAGCUUAUGUGAUUCUUCUUUUAGGUUUGCCUUCAGGGAACAUUGUGACAUAUUGCUGGGCCCUGCACUGAUAAUUUGUGACUCUUCUGCCUGUGAUUUGCCCACUUGGGGCAUUGUGACAUAUUGCUGGGUUUAACACUCAGGUGAUGUAACUUUUAUGCCUAGGCCUUGCUUACAGGAGGCAUUUUGAAAUGUCUUUGUGGCUGGGCAUGGUGGCUCAUGUCUGUAAUCCCAGCGCUUGGGGAGGCCAAGGUGGGCAGAUCACAAAGUCAGGAGUUCGAGACCAGCCUGGUCAACAUGGUGAAAACCUGUCUCUACUAAAACAAAACAAAACAAAACAAAACAAAACAAAACAAAACAAAACAAAACAAAUAAAACCACAAAAA